rnacentral:rRNA from 1 species
AUUGAACGCUGGCGGCAGGCCUAACACAUGCAAGUCGAACGAGUGGCGGACGGGUGAGUAAUGUCUGGGAAACUGCCCGAUGGAGGGGGAUAACUACUGGAAACGGUAGCUAAUACCGCAUACCAUCGGAUGUGCCCAGAUGGGAUUAGCUAGUAGGGGGGGUAACGGCUCACCGAGGCGAAGAUCCCUAGCUGGUCUGAGCGGAUGACAGGCCAGACUGGAAGUGAGGCACGGGCCAGACUCCUACGGGAGGGAGCAGUGGGGAAUAUUGCACAAUGGGCGCGAGCGUGAUGCAGCCAUGCCGCGGGUAUGAAGAGGGCCUUCGGGUUGUAAAGUACUUUCGGCGAGGAGGCGUUACUCGCAGAAGAGGGACCGGCUAACUCGGUGCCAGCCGCCGCGGUAAUGC